AGGACAUGGAACUGCAUCUCUGUUAAAAUGCAGAGAACUGGAUAAGCUGGCAAGAAACUGUAUGUCAGUAGGUGUUUUUACAGCUGGUUUUCUUCUUGAGUUUCCAGUGUUGUUAAGGCUGAAAGAGACAGACUGCUAAGUCAACAAACAAGGAAAGAAGGUUUUCUGCGACUCCUAUUCUGUCUUUGUCGUGUUCGGCUUUCCUGCAGUGGGGAUUUCAGGGGUUGCUGUGUGUCAGAUGAGACCAAGAUAAGCUUCGACUAAAGUAAUGGAAAGGCUAAAAUGUGGAGAAGGAAAGGAACUGCUGAUGUUCAGAAUGCCACCUCAUCUGUGAAGCACGCUGAAGAUAAUACUUAAUGAA